rnacentral:misc_RNA from 1 species
AAAGUCGUAACAAGGUUUCUGUAGGUGAACCUGCAGAAGGAUCAUUAGUGAAUAUUAGGGCGUCUCUUUGAAGAGCCCGAAACCCACUUCUAACACUCACCGUGAACAAGUAAACAAACCUUUAAACAAGAAGUCUUAGUAAAAUGUCACUGCGCAAGCAGCUAUAAACCAAUAAAACUUUCAACAACGGAUGUCUUGGCUCUC